UACGUAGGGUGCAAGCGUUGUCCGGAAUUAUUGGGCGUAAAGAGCUUGUAGGCGGUUUGUCGCGUCUGCUGUGAAAAUCCGAGGCUCAACCUCGGACUUGCAGUGGGUACGGGCAGACUAGAGUGUGGUAGGGGAGACUGGAAUUCCUGGUGUAGCGGUGGAAUGCGCAGAUAUCAGGAGGAACACCGAUGGCGAAGGCAGGUCUCUGGGCCAUUACUGACACUGAGAAGCGAAAGCAUGGGGAGCGAACAGG
rnacentral:rRNA from 1 species